GANANNACAACAGGGUUUGCCNUCAGUAACGGCGAGUGAAGCGGCAAAAGCUCAUCUUUAAAAGCUUCGNCUUUGUAACGGUGGCGGAGGGGGUGGAUCGCAAAAGUCCAUUGGAACAUGGCGCCAUCGAGGGUGACAGCCCCGUCAAGAUACGCCCCCACCCCUCCACCAAUAGAGUCGAGUUGUUUGGGAAUGCAACUCUAACAAGGUGGUAAACUCCAUCUAAGGCUAAAUAUCGACGAGAGACCGAUAGCGAACAAGUACAGUGAUGGAAAGAUGAAAAGCACUUUGAAAAGAGAGUGAAACAGUACGUGAAAUUGUUG
rnacentral:rRNA from 1 species